UACAGAGGUCCGAGCGUUGUUCGGAUUCACUGGGCGUAAAGGGUGCGUAGGUGGCUUGAAAAGUUUGAUGUGAAAGCUCAGGGCUUAACCCUGAAAUGGCAUUGAAUACUGUCGAGCUGGAGGUUUGGAGGGGGACUGGAAUUCUUGGUGUAGCAGUGAAAUGCGUAGAUAUCAAGAGGAACACCGAUGGCGAAGGCAAUCCCCUGGGCCUGCACUGACGCUCAUGCACGAAAGCGUGGGGGAGCAAACAGG
rnacentral:rRNA from 1 species